UCCGGUGGUAAUGGCGGAGGGGAAACACCUGUUCCCAUCCCGAACACAGAAGUUAAGCCCUCCAGCGCCGAUGGUACUGCAUCGGUGACGAUGUGGGAGAGUAGGUCGCCGCCGGAA
rnacentral:rRNA from 1 species